UUUUUUGCGCAGAGGCAAUAUCGUAACCAAUGAGGUGAAUCCGAGGUGCGAUUAUUGCUAGUUGAAUAAAAAAUAUAUACAUUAGAUAUUGUCAGAGGUUCAGUGGUUUCAUACGUAUAACGAAUUACAUUUUACAAACAAAUUCUUCGCAAAUCUAUGAAUCAUGGAU